GUUUAGGCCGCCACAUUUAUGACCUCAUUUAACCUUAAUUACCAGCCCAACAUUUCUGUCCCUAAGUAUGUCAUUUCUUUGGGAGUUAGGGCUUCAACAUAGGACUUUGAGGGGGACACAGUUGAGUCUGUAACACUGCCCUCCUUCAAGGUAAACAAUGUCAGGUAUCAGUGGGGUUAAAUUUGUCAUCACUUUAAUUGAUUGCAACUUCAACCUAUGUUUAUUCCCAGUUUUUAUAUUUUCUUUGUUUAGCCUGCAUUUCCAUUCACUACUUAAAUCAACUUCAGGGGAUGUGAUUUAUCGAUUAGUCUCGCUUUGCCCCAAUUGUCGAGUUUUUGCUUUGCUCUGAAUCCGGUGUCCUUUAUUUUUAUUAAAAAAAAAAACAACAGGUCAGUAUGGAAUCCCCUGUCCCCAUUAAACACUUUGUACUCACUGUCCUGUCUGGCCCUCAUCUCCUCUAUCUUCUCUGUAGUUGCACAGAUAUAAACACACACACGCACCUACACACAUGCAUGCGCACACACACAUUCUUCACAUGGCUGCUUUCUUCUAAUCAUUUGAGUUUCUCUUAAAAAGCUUCACUGAGCCCUUGACCAACUACCAUAUCUGCAGAAGUCUGUCACAUCGCAUCACCUGCUUUCUUUUCUUUCCGACUCCUAGGACUGCUGCCAUUUUGUAGAUGGGUAAACUGAGGCUGGAGAACACAAGGGAUUUGUUCACAGUUGCUCAGGUUCUGAGGAGGCCAAAGUGGCAGAGGGUGGGGCUCUGGAGGUAAACCUACUAUCACAAAACAUCUCUCCCAGUCCUCCCCAGUAAACAACAAGACAGAAGUCAUUGGCUUUUAACACUUCAAGGUCUUUUCAAAGUGGCCCUUGCUCCUUUCUUCUUUCUGUCCUAUUGCCUUGAUAAAAUUGUCUAGCAGAGUGAAGGGACAAGCAUGGCAGGGCACAUUUGGCCUUGUAUAGGCCUGCCAGAUUUAGCAAAUAAAAAUAUAUAAGCACGUUUCAGAUAACUAACAAUUUUUUUUUUUUUGAGAGUAAGUAUGUCCCAUGUAAUGUUUGGAAUAUACUUAUGCUAAAACAUGUGUUUCAUCUGAAAAAUUCAUAUUUAAAGGGACAUCCUGUAUUUAUCCGGCUCUAUAACUAUGCAUAUAUGGAUGAUGGUUCUAAGCCUCUAGUGAGUAUGCUUGGGAAAGAAAACAGGCAAAAAAAAAAAAAAAAAAAUUGCUUGGAGCUCUGUUGUUUUAUUUACUUUAGUAACACUUUGAUGUUUUUUGACAAUAAAAACAACAACUCAGAUAUUCCCAAAUGCAUGUAUAUUUUAUUUUGGAAAAUUUGACUUAUAGCUUUAUCACCUCAGUUCCUUUGAUUUCUUUUGUGAAUUCGCAGCACUUAAUAUCUAGCACCAAAGGAGCUAGAAAACUGCAUGGGUUCAUCAAUGAUGAAUUCGUGUUUGGGCAAAGUUGGGCAGACUAUUUCACCUCUCUUUUUGCUUUAUUUUCUUCCUUUGCAAAAUGGAGAUAAUAAUAGCACCUCUCUUAGGAGGUUGUUGUGAGGGGUAAACAAGAAAAUGUAUGUGAAGGUGGCUAGUUCAGUACUUACAUUUAGGAGACACUCAAUACACAUUCGCUGCAUUUUUCUUGCCUUACCAUUCCAUUUCUGAGAGUGAACAGCAUCACUUUCUCAGACCAUGGCAAAAUAUUAGACUAAAGAAAUUACACAGUUAUGUCUCAAAGAAAUUUUUGUUCUUGCUUACCGAUAACCAGGUAACCAGCAGAGCCAAAGCAAUUGAUUGAUUCAUUCAACCACGUAUAUAUUGAGAACCUAACAUGUGCCAGGCAUAGUGUUCUAGGAGCUGGGGAGACUUGGUAAACUGAGCAAACUUCCUAUUUUCCUAUGAGAAUUGCUUUAUAUUACAGUGAGGGGGCAGGUAAUAAAUGGACAGCUAGAAAGGAGUAUUGUACUAUAUCAUAUUUUACUUGGAGCUGUCAAUUAUGGCAAAUGUUGUGAAACUGAGUACUUGAAUUUGGUUAUGUGAAAAUCACUGGUGACCUUGAUGACAACUUUUUGUUCCCUAAAAGUUGUUUAAGAGAAUGGGGGGAGGAGGAGGAAGUUGAGAAAGGAACUUCACUAAAAAGUGAGCAGGAAAAAUUUGAGUGGCAGUUAAGAAGGGAUAUGGAGUUAAAAAUUUUUUUUUUGAUGAGGGUUAUGACAGCAUAUUUAAGCUGCAAGGAGUGACCAAGUAGAGAGGAACUGAUAAUGAGAAGGCAGAGGACAACUCUAGGAACGAGUGCUUGACAAUGCCAUGAGGCCAAGACUCCAACAGACAAGAGGAUUUGGGCUUAGACUGCCACCAGGACCUUUUGCUCACUGCAGAAAGAGGGGCGACCAAAUAUAUGAGGUAGAGGGUGUGGGGCCUUAGUUUGGCAAUAGGAUGAUAUGGCAGUAGUUCUACCUUCUCAGAGAAAAAAGACAUAAAAUAUUUUCACUUCUCUCAUCAAUAAUUAUUGAUUAAGUUAAAGUAAUUAUUGAUGUUAAGAAAUGUUGGCUUCCUCAUUUGUAUUGGGCUCUUCCCAAGCACCCCCAAAUAUCUGGGAUAAACACCAUGAUCCCCCCACCCCUCCUGUGCACAGGGGAUUGAGACUUAAUUUAUUCACAGACAGCUCUUUUCAGCCCCCUGUGCUGUUCCCAGGCUUCAGGGCUGGUAUUUUAAUGUUUUUCACCCAUCACGUUUCUCUCCAUUGAGAUAAACUUCUUCCAGAGAAGCUGCCCAUCUUGACAAGUCUGUUUCGCGUCUGUGCUCCACUGCACAGCCAGACCUGAAAGUGACGGGAACUGACAAACUCUCUGAACUUGUCCCAUUGGAUUUGUCUAAUGGGCCUUUCCCUGACAUAGAUGAAAAAGUCAUUGACAGAAACAGACCAUUUACCAUGAACCUGAGCAGAGGUAUAAACAGUGACAGAUGAAAUAGGCCUCGCAAUAAAGCUGGGAAAUUCAGGACACAUAUGAUGGGCUCAAGGAGAUCUCUGCUUUCAAAUGCCAUGAUGAAAUGGAUGGCAUCAGGUUUGCAGCCCCAAGUGAUCUGGCUGGUUAGUAAGAAAGCCAGCCCCCUCACCACUCCCCAGCUCUCUCUCUAACUAUACCAGAGAGAAAAGCUGCUAGGUGGUGACGUGGGGUCAGGGGUGGCCUUCAACAGGACACCCCAGGCUUGAGGGGCCGCGUUCUCUUUCCAAGGAUAGUAAGAACAAAAAUAAAUAAAUAAGCCCACCAUUUGAAUAUUUGCAAAAAGC
rnacentral:lncRNA from 1 species